AGCGAACGCUGGCGGCAGGCUUAACACAUGCAAGUCGAGCGCCCCGCAAGGGGAGCGGCAGACGGGUGAGUAACACGUGGGAACGUGCCUUUUGGUUCGGAACAACCCAGGGAAACUUGGGCUAAUACCGGAUAAGCCCUAACGGGGAAAGAUUUAUCGCCAAAAGAUCGGCCCGCGUCUGAUUAGCUAGUUGGUGGGGUAAUGGCUCACCAAGGCUACGAUCGGUAGCUGGUCUGAGAGGAUGACCAGCCACAUUGGGACUGAGACACGGCCCAAACUCCUACGGGAGGCAGCAGUGGGGAAUCUUGCGCAAUGGGCGAAAGCCUGACGCAGCCAUGCCGCGUGGAUGAUGAAGGUCUUAGGAUUGUAAAAUCCUUUCACCGGUGAAGAUAAUGACUGUAGCCGGAGAAGAAGCCCCGGCUAACUUCGUGCCAGCCGCCGCCGUAAGAC
rnacentral:rRNA from 1 species